rnacentral:rRNA from 1 species
UUUAACGGCCGCGGUAUCCUAACCGUGCAAAGGUAGCGCAAUCAAUUGUCCCAUAAAUCGGGACUUGUAUGAAUGGCUAAACGAGGUCUUAACUGUCUCUUACAGGCAAUCGGUGAAAUUGAUCUCCCUGUGCGAAAGCAGGGAUGCACACAUAAGACGAGAAGACCCUGUGGAACUUUAAAAACAGCGACCACCCCAGCAUACAUUCACCCCCACCUCGGGCUCACUUAUACCACGGGCCACUGGUUCGCAUUUUUUCGGUUGGGGCGACCUUGGAGCAAAACAAAACCUCCAAAAAUUAGACCAAACCUCUAGACUAAGAGCAACCUCUCAACGUGCUAAAAGCACCCAGACCCAAUAUAAUUGAUCAAUGGACCAAGCUACCCCAGGGAUAACAGCGCAAUCUCCUUCAAGAGUCCAUAUCGACAAGGAGGUUUACGACCUCGAUGUUGGAUCAGGACAUCCUAGCGGUGCAGCCGCUGCUAA